rnacentral:rRNA from 1 species
GAUGAACGCUGGCGGCGUGCCUAAUACAUGCAAGUCGAGCGAACAGACGAGGAGCUUGCUCCUUUGACGUUAGCGGCGGACGUGUGAGUAACACGUAGGUAACCUACCUAUAAGACUGGGAUAACUUCGGGAAACCGGAGCUAAUACCGGAUAAUAUUUCGAACCGCAUGGUUCGAUAGUGAAAGAUGGCUUUGCUAUCACUUAUAGAUGGACCUGCGCCGUAUUAGCUAGUUGGUAAGGUAACGGCUUACCAAGGCAACGAUACGUAGCCGACCUGAGAGGGUGAUCGGCCACACUGGAACUGAGACACGGUCCAGACUCCUACGGGAGGCAGCAGUAGGGAAUCGUCCGCAAUGGGCGAAAGCCUGACGGAGCAACGCCGCGUGAGUGAUGAAGGUCUUCGGAUCGUAAAACUCUGUUAUUAGGGAAGAACAAACGUGUAAGUAACUGUGCACGUCUUGACGGUACCUAAUCAGAAAGCCACGGCUAACUACGUG